UACGGAGGAUCCGAGCGUUAUCCGGAUUUAUUGGGUUUAAAGGGUGCGCAGGCGGGAGAUUAAGUCGGCGGUGAAAUUUUGCAGCUCAACUGUAAAAGUGCCUUCGAUACUGGUUUCCUUGAGUGUGGAUGAAGUAGGCGGAAUUUGUGGUGUAGCGGUGAAAUGCAUAGAUAUCACGAGGAACUCCGAUUGCGUAGGCAGCUUACUAAACCAUAACUGACGCUCAUGCACGAAGGCGUGGGGAUCAAACAGGAUUAGAUACCCCCGUA
rnacentral:rRNA from 1 species